rnacentral:rRNA from 1 species
UCAGGUUGAUCCUGCCAGUAGUCAUAUGCUUGUCUCAAAGAUUAAGCCAUGCAUGUCUAAGUAUAAAUAGUAUACAGUGAAACUGCGAAUGGCUCAUUAAAACAGUUAUAGUUUAUUUGAUAAUUGACAAUUACAUGGAUAACCGUGGUAGUUCUAGAGCUAAUACAUGCUUAAACGCCCGACUUUAUGGAAGGGUGGUAUUUAUUAGACUGAAGCCAAUAUUCCUUGUGUCUAUUGCGGUGAUUCAUAAUAACUGAUCGAAUCUCUUUUUGAGAUAAAUCAUUCAAGUUUCUGCCCUAUCAGCUUUCGAUGGUAGUGUAUUGGACUACCAUGGCAGUAACGGGUAACGAAGAAUUAGGGUUCGAUUUCGGAGAGGGAGCAUGAGAAACGGCUACCACAUCUAAGGAAGGCAGCAGGCGCGUAAAUUACCCAAUCCUGACUCAGGGAGGUAGUGACAAGAAAUAGCAAACCGGAAACCUCAUGGUUUCACGGUAUUGCAAUGAGAACAAUUUAAAACCCUUAGCGAGAAUCAAGUGGAGGACAAGUCUGGUGCCAGCACCCGCGGUAAUUCCAGCUCCACUAGCGUAUAUUAAAGUUGUUGCAGUUAAAAAGCUCGUAGUUGAACCUCUGUCUGGGGCUAGUUUUGGCUUUGGUCAGGCUAGUUCUAGGCAUCCGCCUACAAGACUUAGAGGGCAUUCAGUUGUUCACUAGGAGGAGUAGGCAUUUUACUUUGAAAAAAUUAGAGUGUUUAAGGCAGGCAAUCGCCCGCAUAUAUUAGCAUGAAUAAUAGAAUAGGACACUUUUCCAUUUCGUUGGUUAUUGGAAUCGUGUAAUGAUUAAUAGGGACAGUUGUGGGCAUUUGUAUUUAAUUGUCAGAGGUGAAAUUCUUGGAUUUAUUAAAGACAAACUAACGCGAAAGCAUUUGCCAAGGAUGUUUUCAUUAAUCAAGAACGAAAGUUAGGGGAUCAAAGACGAUCAGAUACCGUCCUAGACUUAACUAUAAACUAUUCCGACUCAAUGUUUGACUGGCUUAUAUAACCAGUUGAGCGUUGUAUGAGAAAUCAAAGUCUUUAGGUUCUGGGGGGAGUAUGGUUGCAAAGCUGAAACUUAAAGGAAUUGACGGAAGAGCACAACCAGGAGUGGAUUCUGCGGCUUAAUUUGACUCAACACGGGGAAACUUACCAGGUUAAAACAAUAGUGGGAUUGACAGUUUGAGAGCGCUUUCUUGAUUGGUUGGGUGGUGGUGCAUGGCCGUUCUUAGUUGGUGGAGUGAUUUGUCUGCUUAAUUGCGUUAACGAACGAGACCUUAACCUGCUUACUAGAC